GGGAGGCAGCAGUGGGGAAUGUUGGACAAUGGGCGAAAGCCUGAUCCAGCCAUUCCGCGUGGAGUGAAGAAGGCCUUCGGGUGUGUAAAGCUCUUUCGGCAGGAACGAAACGGCAGUCUCUAAUACAGGCUGUUAAUGACGGCACCUGAAGAAGAAGCACCGGCUAACUACGUGCCAGCAGCCGCGGUAAUACGUAGGGUGCGAGCGUUAAUCGGAAUUACUGGGCGUAAAGCGUGCGCAGGUGGUUGUUUAAGACAGAUGUGAAAUCCCCGGGCUUAACCUGGGAACUGCGUUUGUGACUGGACAGCUAGAGUGCGGCAGAGGGGGGUGGAAUUCCACGUGUAGCAGUGAAAUGCGUAGAGAUGUGGAGGAACACCGAUGGCGAAGGCAGCCCCCUGGGCCAGCACUGACGCUCAUGCACGAAAGCGUGGGGAGCAAACAGGAUUAGAUACCCUGGUAGUCCACGCCCUAAACGAUGUCAACUAGGUGUUGGGGAAGGAGACUUUCUUAGUACCGCAGCUAACGCGUGAAGUUGACCGCCUGGGGAGUACGGUCGCAAGAUUAAAACUCAAAGGAAUUGACGGAAUCA
rnacentral:rRNA from 1 species